rnacentral:rRNA from 1 species
AACCGACUACCGUUGAAAAGUUAGCGGAUGACCUGUGGAUCGGAGUGAAAGGCUAAUCAAGCUCGGAGAUAGCUGGUUCUCCUCGAAAGCUAUUUAGGUAGCGCCUCAUGUAUCACUGUAGGGGGUAGAGCACUGUUUCGGCUAGGGGGUCAUCCCGACUUACCAAACCGAUGCAAACUCCGAAUACCGAUGACUGAUAU